CAGGUUUUGCUGCAAAUGUUCACCUUGGACACCAGAGAACCUGGCCUUCCUGAGUGUAAUUGGAAAGCAGCAGGUUGGGAGGCCUCUUUUGAACUUUAAUUUGGGGAGAGCCAUUGGAACAAGGAGAUGUCAUCUCAUAUUCCUCCUGCCACAUUUCCUGCCCUUGGAGGGAUGACUCCAUUAGUUAUGCACCAACUACUGGAAACCUUGGUCGUGCUGAAGUUGGAGAUCAAGCUUCAAUCAGUAGUGAAGACAGCAUGUUGAUCUUUCUCCAGGAAGAGAAGAGAAUGAUGCUGAGAUUCUGAGAAGCUCUGAAAAUGAAUUCCAUAUCACAGCUGAGCCAGGGACAUGGCUGGGAUCUGGAAUGAUAGAUGAGAAUCAUCUGAAUCUAUAUUUAGCACCAUCAUCAGGAAUGACCAUGGGGGCAACAGUUUUCCAGAAAAUCAUUCAAGUGUGUGUACUUUAGAAGUAUUAUUUUAUUUUAGAAGUAGUUUACAUUUACAAAACAAUUUCAAACUGGUAUCGGCAGAUCCCACACACCCCUUCUCUUGGCUGUGACAGUAUCUCAGAUCUUCUCUGUUCUUGACGGCAUCUAAAGCUUAGGAGCACUGGUUAUGUGCUUGGUAGACUGACCAAGACUGGUUGGGUCCAGUCUCACCUCUAGUAGGUUUCAUAUGAUUGCUUUUUCUUGGUUAGACGAGGUUACCUGUGGAAGACCAAAGGGGUAAAGUGCCCCUCCCAUUCCAUUGAACUCAGAGCCCAAAAUAUAGUCAUGUCUUAUCACUA